rnacentral:misc_RNA from 1 species
UCGUGGUAUAUUACCUGCC